rnacentral:rRNA from 1 species
GCGACCCCAGGUCACGCGGGGACACCCGCUGAGUUUAAGCAUAUCAAUAAGCGGAGGAGAAGAAACUUACAAGGAUUCCCCUAGUAACGGCGAGU